rnacentral:rRNA from 1 species
UACGUAGAGUGCAAGCGUUGUCCGGAUUUAUUGGGUUUAAAGGGUGCGUAGGCGGUUCUGUAAGUCAGGGGUGAAAUACUCUAGCUUAACUAGAGGGGUGCCAAUGAUACUGCAGAACUUGAGUACAGAUGAGGUAGGCGGAAUUGACGGUGUAGCGGUGAAAUGCAUAGAUAUCGUCAAGAACACCGAUAGCGAAGGCAGCUUACUGGGCUGUAACUGACGCUGAUGCACGAAAGUGUGGGGAGCAAACAGG